rnacentral:lncRNA from 1 species
GCUGUGUCACGGGUGCCUCCUUAAUCUUGGCCAAAAAGACAAAAGAAAAACUUACUAAAUUGACUGAGACCCGUCUCAGAUACUUUGGGUUAACAGUUAGGUUCUACCCUUUGAUGCCUGUUUACUUGACUGUGUACUGAGACCAGUUGCUUCACUGAACAUUAAUACCACAACAGGCAACGAUUUUGUUUUGUGGUAGGGUACUUGGCCUAGUGCCCAUUUUGUAGAUGUGUCAUUGCUGAGAAGGCAGAACAGUAAGGGGAUUUAAAAAAUUUAUACACUGUUAUACAUUGUCACUGAAAUGCCAAAUGAUUUAGCUUUUGUUAUUGUCACUCAGCCUGCUUACUUGAGCAGGGUUUGGCAAGCCAGUAAUUUAGGGGACUUGUGAGUGAAAUACCAUGUGAAUAAAGUCCAUUGUUUCCUUAGUUAGAAAAAGGCUAAUUGACUUACAUGCUGUUUCUGAGGUGAGGAAGUUCCAUUAACAAAACGAAACCAAGCCAAAGAAUCCAGUGUUUCUCAAUUUAACCUAGUCAAAUAUCUGACAUCUCUUUGAGAAAUGGAUACCCAGUGUCAAUAAUCCUAUGAGGUUAAUGGCAGUUAAACAAUGGUUUGCUUAAACAGUAACUGGCAAAUGCUAUAGGGCAAAGCCUAUUUGUGGUGUAGGGGGUGCUUGCAUCAGUUGAUCGGCUAUGCUGUAUUCACUUGCUUUCUGAAAUAUCUGUGGCAGGGACAAAAGUUCCUAUUUGGUGCUCACUUUGGACUUUUAUUUUUGUUUCCUUUGCAGUUGCAAAGAUCUUUUCUGUAGCCUCAGCUGAUCUAAUGCAGUGGUUCUCAGAUUUCAGUGUACAUAAAUCUUUUGGAUGCCUGUUAAGCAUACAGAUUCCUAGGCCCAUACCCAGCUAUUCUAAUUCAGCUGGCCUGGCAACAGGCAUGUUUAAUAAAUUUCUUAGGUGAUUCUAAUGCAUGUGUUCCUUUGAAAAAAAAUUGGAUUGGGUCAGGAUGUAGGAGAAAAGGAAUUGAUACCGUUUUAUGCAUGUGUUAUGUACUAGAUCUGGUUAUGGCAGGAUGCCUCAUUUCAGUGGUUCCCUUCUAAACCCCAAAUACCAUGUCCACCUGUUCGAGACAUAAUAUCCCUAUGUUUGUGAGAACCUGUGCUUAGGGAAUGAUUCCUUCAGUUUGAAGCUUCUUAUUGUCCUUUAAAAUGCAGAUAUGCAGGAGGAGAUAUCUUUUUAUGGCUUAGCAGAAUGCUGCUCAAAGCGCCAGUCUCUGAAGCUCUUUGUUCCUGACUUGCAACCAGGUACUUUAGAUUUUCUACAUCUAAUGGUGGCAAAUAAAUCCACUAGCUGCCAAAUACAUGGGAAAUGAUCUGUGAAAACCACAAGUGGCCCAACAAACUGUACGUCUUCAAUUUGACAGCACAAAGGAAUUAUUGAACAGAAGCUGAAAAAGCAUACUGCUUGCAUUUCAGGUGUUCUGGGACUCAGUGUUAGAAGCUGUCUGUCUGUAAGAAUCUUGCUGUCUCUGCCUCAUGAAAACAAUUGCAGUGAUGAGAACCAGUUACUAAUGGCAUACAUCACACAUUUCAGCCCAUCUUCUGGGUGAGCAGGUGGUUGAGCUGUCCCUCGCCUUUGAAUCAGGAAGUUAGCAUCAAAAAUGGUAUGUUGCUUUUCCUUCCUUUUAUUUUAUUCAGUCUUGGCAUGGUGUGUCACCUAAUUAACAAAACAAAUGUAAUUUUAUGUGACUUUACCUCUUUUCAUGGCUCAUUAUUUUCCUCCAAUGUAAGAAAUUGAUGUUCACAUCAUUUCUUAUCCUCCCUCCAUCUAAAAGGAAAUGUCCAAUUUGGAAGACAUUUUCUUUAGUCUUCUAUGAAAGCCCUCUCAUGACCUUUCUGCUUGCAAACAAAAGAAUCAUUUCCUGAUCAGCACCAGCAGUCAGCUCCUUUACAAUGGAACCCAUUUAAGGUCAGUGCUGGCCUAUAAUAGAACUACUUAAAUAAGUGUAACUUCAAAGAAAAAUGGAAAUAAUGUGUAAUAUUGAGAUGUGAUAACAUCUUAGAGAAAAUAGUUCGUUUUUCUGCUAUUUUUAAAGUAGUAGCCAAUGGUGUGAAGCGGUUUCUAAAGAAAGCUCACACCACAUCCCACCACCAGAAAGCUCCUCCACAACGUGGGCUGGAUCCAAUUCAGUUCCCAAUAUGGCGUUUCAGGAGAGAUUGUCAUGGAUUAGAGGAAGGUAUUCAAGAUGAUAAAGGGCCUAGAAAAAAUAUCUUGUUGGGAGUGUUUAAAAAAAAAAACUUUAGACAAAUUAAAUUGAACAGAUUUUAACUGAGUGAAGAACGAUUUGUAAAUUGAGUAGCUACCCCCCACCUCCCAACCCGAAUAGGUUCGGAGUUACUCAGGCAUUGCCAGGAGUUCAAAAGGAUAUACGCACAGAUAAAGGAAAAUGAUGUACAGAAAAUCGAAGUGAGGUACAGAAAACGGAAGUGAGGUACAGAAGACGGAAGUGAGGUACAGAAAACGGAAGUGAGGUACGGAAACUGCUGGGUUGCUUACAGCUCGCGUUUGCCUUCUUAGCACGGUUUGAGAGGUUGGCUGCCUGUGAGUGGUCAAAGUCUGGCUGCUGGGAUUAGCUGAGACUUAGCUACUUGUUCCAAGAGCAGGUUCCGGUCUGUUUCCACAUCCAGUCAGGUUUCAGUUCACUAUGUACCCAGAAACCUUGAGGCUGAACUUAAAAUAUGCGAGGAAGCAGCUUUAGGUGAAACAACGUAGCAGGAGUAUAGCAAAAGUUCAGUCUGAUAUAAAGGAGAUAGGACAGACGGAUGCCUGUGGCCAUUGUCCAUCUUUGAGAGGGUAUUUAAAGGCUGGCUUGUUCUGUUUUGCUUCUGAGACAUACUAAGUACCGAUCGGUAGAAAGUGAAAGCAAAUGAUGGCAAGGACACCUCAUAAAUUAGUGAGUCACUCCCCAUCAUUUGAGAGUAUUAAGCAAGAGGGUCAACGAUUAUUUGUAGGACUAUUUUAGUCCUACAAAUUUUAAAGGCAUUUCCUGUGCUGGGUGGAUUUUUAUGAUUCUUAUAUGAGCAUGCUCCGUUUUUCAUGAUGCUAAAGAGGAAAUACUUGCUUUGUUAAUUUAAAAUGGAUUAAUUUAAACAAUUCUUGGCUGGGCGCAGUGGCUUACGCCUGUAA